rnacentral:rRNA from 1 species
UACGUAGGGUGCGAGCGUUGUCCGGAAUUAUUGGGCGUAAAGGGCUCGUAGGCGGUCUGUCGCGUCAGGAGUGAAAACUCGGGGCUCAACCCCGAGCCUGCUUCUGAUACGGGCAGACUAGAGGUAUGCAGGGGAGAACGGAAUUCCUGGUGUAGCGGUGAAAUGCGCAGAUAUCAGGAGGAACACCGGUGGCGAAGGCGGUUCUCUGGGCAUUACCUGACGCUGAGGAGCGAAAGCGUGGGGAGCGAACAGG